rnacentral:rRNA from 1 species
GGGGAAUAUUGCGCAAUGGGGGAAACCCUGACGCAGCAACGCCGCGUGCGGGAUGAAGGCCUUCGGGUUGUAAACCGCUUUCAGCAGGGACGAAGGGUUUCUGACGGUAACUCAUGAAUAAGCACCGGAUAACUACGUGCCAGCAGCCGCGGUCAUACGUAGGGUGCAAGCAUUAUCCGGAGUGACUGGGCGUAAAGAGUUGCGUAGGCGGUUAGUAAAGCGAAUAGUGAAACCUGGUGGCUCAACCAUACAGACUAUUAUUCGAACUCACUAACUCGAGAAUGGUAGAGGUAACUGGAAUUUCUAGUGUAGGAGUGAAAUCCGUAGAUAUUAGAAGGAACACCAAUGGCGUAGGCAGGUUACUGGACCAUUUCUGACGCUAAGGCACGAAAGCGUGGGGAGCGAACC